rnacentral:rRNA from 1 species
GACGUAGGGCGCGAGCGUUGUCCGGAUUUAUUGGGCGUAAAGAGCUCGUAGGCGGCUCGGUAAGUCGGGUGUGAAAUUUCGAGGCUCAACCUCGAAACGCCACCCGAUACUGCUGUGGCUAGAGUCCGGUAGGGGAGCGUGGAAUUCCUGGUGUAGCGGUGAAAUGCGCAGAUAUCAGGAGGAACACCAGCGGCGAAGGCGGCGCUCUGGGCCGGUACUGACGCUGAGGAGCGAAAGCGUGGGGAUCAAACAGG